UUUCCGUAGGUGAACCUGCGGAAGGAUCAUUAUCGUAAAACCGAGGUGCGAGGGCUGUCGCUGACCUUUUCGGUCGUGCACGCCCGAGCGCUCUCACACAAUCCAUCUCACCCCUUGUGCACCACCGCGUGGGUCCCUUUCUGGCUCGUCCGGAGGGGGGCUCGCGGUUUCACACAAACUUGAAGUAGUGUAGAAUGUCCUUUUUUUGCGAUAACACGCAAUCAAUACAACUUUCAACAACGGAUCUCUUGGCUCUC
rnacentral:misc_RNA from 1 species